CCACUUCUGGAGGUCAGAAGCCUGAGAUGGCCUCACGGGCUACGGGCAGGGUGUGGGCAGCACAGUGCUCCCUCUGGAGGUUCCAGGGGAGAGAAUCUGCUCCCUGCUGGUCCCAGCUUCUAGAGGCCACAUGCAUUCCUUGGCUCGCAACCCCUUCCCCAGCUCCAAAGCCAGCACCGUGGGGCUGAGUCCUGCCCCACCCGCCUCCCUCGCUUACGCUCACAGUCGGGAGGGGUCCUGUGAUCACACUGAGUCCCACCUGGAGCCACGUCAUCUCCCCGUUGUAAGCAAGAAGACAGCCAUCUACAAACCAAGAAGAGAAUCCUCACCAGGAACUGAUCAGCCAGCACCCUGACCGAGGACAUCCAGCCUCCAGUGCCGUGAGCAAUCAGUGUCUGUUGUUUAAGCCUCUGGUCUGUGGGGUUUGACUGCAGCCACUGAGCUGACUAGGACAGCCGGGUCCGCAGGAGAAAGUGAGUGUUUCUGCCGGAACCCCGGGGAAUGCCAGAGGGCGAGCUAAUCAACAUGGCUUUGCAGGUUCUGCUCUCCAGCUGCCAGCGUCCCUGACAGCGAGGCCCAGCUCUCACCAGACCAGCUACUGGGCUGCGCACGCUGCCCCCCCAAGCGCAGAGCAGCCCCGGGGCGAGUGCCCAUUAGCGCCUUCACAUUCAUCACUGGUGAUGGCCGGGGAGGGACUGAGGCCAUGAGACACAGCUCUCAUGCUGUGUGCACGUGUGUGAGUGUGCUCU